UCUGGCGGCAGUAGCGCGGUGGUCCCACCUGACCCCAUGCCGAACUCAGAAGUGAAACGCCGUAGCGCCGAUGGUAGUGUGGGGUCUCCCCAUGCGAGAGUAGGGAGUAGGGAACUGCCAG
rnacentral:rRNA from 1 species